AACAACAAAAGAAAAACUCCUCAAAAUCAAAUCAUAAGCCCUAAUUUUUCCAUCUCUCGUCUCCGCCUCCAUCUUCUCUCUUCUCCGCCCUGAUCCAUUCACUUCCAUCUUUUCCAUUGGCAAGCUCGGUGGUGCAAGAGGUCAUUGGGCAUCGCAUCCAGGACGUUGACUAGGCAAUCGUUGGCUAUGUCAUCAACGUCCUCGCCAACGAGGACUUCGAUUUCGGCGUCGACGGCGAGGGAGCCUUUGAAGCUCU
rnacentral:lncRNA from 1 species